rnacentral:rRNA from 1 species
GACAGAGGUCCCGAGCGUUAGGCGGAAUCACUGGGCGUAAAGCGCACGUAGGCGGAUUGUUAAGUCAGGGGUGAAAUCCUGGAGCUCAACUCCAGAACUGCCUUUGAUACUGGCGAUCUUGAGUCCGGGAGAGGUGAGUGGAACUGCGAGUGUAGAGGUGAAAUUCGUAGAUAUUCGCAAGAACACCAGUGGCGAAGGCGGCUCACUGGCCCGGUACUGACGCUGAGGUGCGAAAGCGUGGGGAGCAAACAGG